rnacentral:rRNA from 1 species
GAUGAACGCUGGCGGCGUGCCUAACACAUGCAAGUCGAGCGAAGCGGGGACGGGUGAGUCACACGUGGAUAACCUCCUAUAAGACUGGGAUAAUUUCGGGAAACCGGACCUAAACCGGUUACUUACAGUCAGAUCCGCGCUGCAUUAGCUAGUUGGUAAGGUAACGGCUUACGAAGGCAACGAUGCAUAGCCGACCUGAGAGGGUGAUCGGCCACACUGGAACUGAGACACGGUCAAGACUCCUACGGGAGGCAGCAGUGGGGAAUCUUCCGCAAUGGGCGAAAGCCUGACGGAGCCACGCCGCGUGAAUGAUGAAGGUCUUCGGAUCGUAAAACUCUGUUAUUAGGGAAGCGGUACCGAAACAGAAAGCAACGGCUAACUACGUGCCAGCCGCCGCGGUAAUAC